AGUGAACGCUGGCGGUAGGCCUAACACAUGCAAGUCGAACGGCAGCACAGAGGAGCUUGCUCCUUGGGUGGCGAGUGGCGGACGGGUGAGGAAUACAUCGGAAUCUACUCUGUCGUGGGGGAUAACGUAGGGAAACUUACGCUAAUACCGCAUCCGACCUACGGGGGAAAGCAGGGGAUCUUCGGACCUCGCGCGAUUGAAUGAGCCGAUGUCGGGUUGGCUAGUUGGCGGGGUAAAGGCCCACCAAGGCGACGAUCCGUCGCUGGUCUGAGAGGAUGAUCAGCCACACUGGAACUGAGACACGGUCCAGACUCCUACGGGAGGCAGCAGUGGGGAAUAUUGGACAAUGGGCGCAAGCCUGAUCCAGCCAUACCGCGUGGGUGAAGAAGGCCUUCGGGUUGUAAAGCCCUUUUGUUGGGAAAGAAAUCCAUCUGGUUAAUACCCGGGUGGGAUGACGGUACCCAAAGAAUAAGCACCGGCUAACUUCGUGCCAGCCGCCGCCGUAA
rnacentral:rRNA from 1 species